AAAAUUUCCGGAGGUAUACGAUGGACCCGCGUCUGAUUAGCCAGUUGGCAGGGUAACGGCCUACCAAAGCAACGAUCAGUAGCCGGCCUGAGAGGGUGGACGGCCACAUUGGGACUGAGACACGGCCCAAACUCCUGCGGGAGGCAGCAGUGGGGGAUAUUGCACAAUGGGGGAAACCCUGAUGCAGCGACGCCGCGUGAGUGAAGAAGCAUUUCGGUGUGUAAAGCUCUAUCAGCAGGGAAGAAGAAUGACGGUACCUGACUAAGAAGCCCCGGCUAACUACGUGCCAGCAGCCGCGGUAAUACGUAGGGGGCAAGCGUUAUCCGGAUUUACUGGGUGUAAAGGGAGCGUAGACGGCAAUGCAAGCCAGAUGUGAAAACCCGCAGCUCAACUGGGGGAGUGCAUUUGGAACUGUGUAGCUGGAGUGCAGGAGAGGUAAGCGGAAUUCCUGGUGUAGCGGUGAAAUGCGUAGAUAUCAGGAGGAACACCAGUGGCGAAGGCGGCUUACUGGACUGUAACUGACGUUGAGGCUCGAAAGCGUGGGGAGCAAACAGGAUUAGAUACCCUGGUAGUCCACGCUGUAAACGAUGAAUACUAGGUGUC
rnacentral:rRNA from 1 species